GGGGGUAGAGCACUGUUAAGGCUAGGGGGUCAUCCCGACUUACCAACCCUUUGCAAACUCCGAAUACCAGUAAGUACUAUCCGGGAGACACACGGCGGGUGCUAACGUCCGUCGUGGAGAGGGAAACAACCCAGACCGCCAGCUAAGGUCCCAAAUUACUACUAAGUGGGAAACGAUGUGGGAAGGCUCAGACAGCCAGGAUGUUGGCUUAGAAGCAGCCAUCAUUUAAAGAAAGCGUAAUAGCUCACUGGUCGAGUCGGCCUGCGCGGAAGAUGUAACGGGGCUAAGUAGUAAACCGAAGCUGCGGCAAUAUACUUUUGUAUAUUGGGUAGGGGAGCGUUCUGUAAGCGGUUGAAGGUGUGUGGUAACGCAUGCUGGACGUAUCAGAAGUGCGAAUGCUGACAUGAGUAACGAUAAAGGGGGUGAAAAACCUCCUCGCCGGAAGACCAAGGGUUCCUGUCCAACGUUAAU
rnacentral:rRNA from 1 species